GUGAAGUCUAACAUGAGGGAGCCAAUAGGUCCCUCAUGUCAUGAGGGAGUGCUUUUUAAUGGUGAGAUUGAUCCAAUGGAUUAGAUCUGCUCCAUCUCAGCAAGAGAGCACAUGUACCUCUCCACACUCAAUCAAAAAUCAUAACAUACAAUCUCUUCUCUCUAACUACAAUUCUCUCUCCUCUCUUCAAUAUCUCUCUAUGUUUAGCGACUACAUUGUUGUUGUCGAACAUGUUGGUGCAGGCCUGAGUGGAAUUUUGGAUGAUGGGUUCUUGUAUAACCGAGUUUAAAUUUUAAUUGUAGAAAGAAUAUAUACUGGUUAAUUACAUGAUUAUAAAUUUUGGAUGGCUUAAUAGUUGUGUUGGAAGAUUUGGUUUUGUUCUAUUCAUAAACGUAUUCUUGUUCUUAUCUCCUCCUUUUAGAUGAUGAAUCUAAUGGUUGCUUAAUAUUACUUCCAUCUUCUUCUUUUUUCUUUUAAAAAAAAAAACUAAUAC
rnacentral:lncRNA from 1 species